GGGAUCACAUUUGGCAGCACAUAUACUAAAAUUGGAACGAUACAGAGAAGAUUAGCAUGGCCCCUGCAGUUUUAAAUUUUUGAAAUUUGAAUAUACUCUCACAUUU
ensembl:snRNA U6 U6 spliceosomal RNA